rnacentral:piRNA from 1 species
UGUUAAGAUUCACAACAGCAGUGGGCC